rnacentral:rRNA from 1 species
UACGUAGGGUCCGAGCGUUGUCCGGAAUCAUUGGGCGUAAAGAGCGUGUAGGCGGCUUGGUAGGUCACGUGUUAAAGCCUGCGGCUCAACCGCAGAAUCGCACGUGAAACCACCUGGCUAGAGUCCGGAAGAGGAGAGCGGAAUUCCCAGUGUAGCGGUGAAAUGCGUAGAUAUUGGGAGGAACACCAGUGGCGAAGGCGGCUCACUGGACCGGUACUGACGCUGAUGCGCGAAAGCGUGGGGAGCAAACGGG